rnacentral:rRNA from 1 species
CUAUAUGCUUGUCUAAAAGAUUAAGCCAUGCAAGUCUAAGUAUAAGCGAUUAUAUUGUGAAACUGCGGAAAGCUCAUUAUAUCAGUUAUAGUUUAUUUGAUGAUUACACCCACUACAUGGAUAACCGUAGUAAUUCUAGAGCUAAUACAUGCCAGUAAGUUCUAUCUCCCUCGUGGGGAUGGAAUGUAUUUAUUAGAUAAAAGGCCAUUCGGCACUUGUGUCGAUCUUUUGGUGAGUCAUAAUAAUUAUACUAAUCGCACGGCCUCGCGCUGUGUUCGAUGGAUCAUUCAAAUUUCUGCCCUAUCAGCUAUGAUGUUAGUGUAUUGGACUAACAUGGCUAAAACGGGUGACGGGGGAUUAGGGUCUGAUUCCGGAGAGGGAGCCUGAGAAACGGCUACCACUUCUAAGGAAGGCAGCAGGCGCGUAAAUUACCCAAUCCCGAUGCGGGGAGGUAGUGACAAGAAAUAACAAUACCGGGCUUUUACAAGUCUGGUAAUUGGAAUGAGUACAGUGUACAAACCUUAACGAGUAACAAUUGGAGGGCAAGUCUGGUGCCAGCAGCCGCGGUAAUACCAGCUCCAAAAGCAUAUGCUAAUUCUGUCGCGGUUAAAAGGCUCGUAGUCAACCUUUUGGUUCGUUCCGUGGCGAUCAGUGUCUAGUACACUGCUUUUUCGUCCGCGGUCCAACCAUCCUUCUGGCAUGCCCUUCCGCUCUUGAUUGAGUUGGCUGGGUACUCCAGAUCAUUUACUGUGAGUAAAUCAAAGUGUUCCACGCAGGCUCCCAAACGCGUCGUUGAAUGCUACAGCAUGGAAUAAUACUAUAGGACUUGGGUUUUAUUGUUUGGCUUUUAUAACCCGAUGUAAUGAAUGAAAGAGAUAGUUGGGGGUGCUAGUACUUGGCGGCAAGCGGUGAAAUGUUCAGACCCGUUAAAGACUAACUUAUGCGAAAGCAUUCACCAAGGAUAUCUUCUUUGAUGAAGAACGAAAGUUGGGGGAUCGAAGACGAUCAGAUACCGUCGUAGUCUCAACCAUAAACUCUACCAACUGGGUAUUGGUAAGUCGUUGAAUAGACCUAAUCAGAAUCCAUCUGGGAAACCUCAAGUAUUUAGGUUCCGGGGGAAGUAUGGUCGCAAGGCUGAAACUUAAAGGAAUUGACGGAAGGGCACCACCAGGAGUGGAGCAUGCGGCUUAAUUUGACUCAACACGGGGAAACUUACCAGGUCCGGACAUAGUAAGGAUUGACAGAUUGAAGAUCUUUCUUGAUUCUAUGGGUGGUGGUGCAUGGCCGUUCUUAGUUGGUGGAGUGAUUUGUCUGGUUAAUUCCGUUAACGAACGAGACCUCCUCCUGCUAAUUAGGAAGCGCAAGCCUCGUGCUUGUCGUUAACUUCUUAGAGGGAUUAUCGGUUCUUCAGCCGAUUGAAAUUGGAGGCAAUAACAGGUCUGUGAUGCCCUUAGAUGUUCUGGGCCGCACGCGUGCUACACUGCAACAAACAAUGAGCAACCCUGUAGUCUACGCUAUGGGAAAUCUCAAAAGUGAUGCGUGAUUGGGCUUGUCGAUUGUAAACAAUGACACCAACGAGGAAUUCCUAGUAAGCACCAUUCAACAAGUAAUGCUGAAUACGUCCCUGCCCUUUGUACACACCGCCCGUCGCUUCUACCGAUUGAAUGUUCCGGUGAGUUCUCUGGAUCUGCGAUAUCGUUUAUCUUUAUCAUUAGAGAAAUUGUGCAAACCUUAACAUUUAGAGGAAGAAGAAGUCGUAACAAGGUUUCCG